rnacentral:rRNA from 1 species
AGCGAACGCUGGCGGCGUGCUUAACACAUGCAAGUCGAACGGAUCCGGGGGCAACCCUCGGGUUAGUGGCGAACGGGUGAGUAACACGUGGGAACGUGCCCUUUGGUUCGGAAUAGCCCUGGGAAACUGGGAGUAAUACCGGAUGAGCCCUUCGGGGGAAAGAUUUAUCGCCAAAGGAUCGGCCCGCGUUGGAUUAGGUAGUUGGUGGGGUAAUGGCCUACCAAGCCGACGAUCCAUAGCUGGUUUGAGAGGAUGAUCAGCCACACUGGGACUGAGACACGGCCCAGACACCUACGGGUGCUG